UAAUACACCAAUACUUUAUUGAUUUACAACACCAAAGCUUUAUUUCACACAUCACUCACAACUCACUGCAGUGUAAGAUCAGUGCAUUUUUUUUUGGAAUGUCACUGUACUGCAUGUAUGACUGUUAACAUGGAGACGCAGAUGACUUUACUCAUCAUUCUCACUGCAGUUUCAGGUGGAUUUGCUGAUAAAAUUGGACCAAGAGAAGGAGAAACAAAUAUAAUCAAAAGUGAAGGAGAAUCUGUGAUUCUGAGCUGCACAUAUGAAGCAAGCAGCAGUAAUAUUCUGCUUUACUGGUACAGACAGCAUCCUAACAGUGAACCUCAGUAUUUACGACAUGAAGGUUCUCGGUCAUCACAAUCAUCCACUAAACACAAUAUUGACAGUGUAUCUCUGUCAGAUUCAGCUUUAUAUUACUGUGCUCUGAGAGAUGUAGCCCAGUGA